GAUGAACGCUGGCGGCGUGCUUAACACAUGCAAGUCGAACGGAAAGGCUCCUGCUUGCAGUGUUACUCUAGUGGCUAACGGGUGAGUAACACGUGGGUGAUCUUCCCUGCACUUCUGGAUAAUCCUGUGGAACUGGUUCUACUACUGGCUCGUACGAUGUUUUGGAUGCCAUUGUGGAAAGUUUUUCGGUUUGGGAUUAGCUCGCGGCCUAUCAGCUUGUUGGUGGGGUAAUGGCCUACCAAGGCGUCGACGGGUAGCCGGCCUGGGAGGGUUUACGGGCACAUGGCGACUGAGAGAGGGACCAGACGCAUACGGGAGGCAGCAGUGGGGAAUAUUGCACAAUGGGCGCAAGCCGGAUGCAGCGACGCCGCGUGGGGGAUGACGGCCUUCGGGGUGUAAAAUCUUUUCGCUAGGGACGAAGGGAAAGUGACGGUACCUGGAGAAGAAGCACCGGCUAACUACGUG
rnacentral:rRNA from 1 species